AUGUGUUUAUACUGUUGAAAAGGUGGUGAGGUUGCCUACUGAGAUAGGCCUACUGAGGUUGCUGUUCAUCACUGUGCAGUGAACUCCAGCUCUGUAGGUCAAAUUCUACACCUGUGUGAGUGGUCCCACCGUUGGGUUGCCUUUCCACAGUCUGCUGUCUUGAGGGAGCCCAGGCCUGGCCACAGUCAUCAGUCAGCUAAGAUGCUUCCUCCUCUCUGCUCCAUAGCCACAAAUGGGCCCUGCUUGCAGCAAUUCAGCAGGAAAGGGCCAGGAUGAGAUAGCUCUGGGUGUUCCAGAAAGCACUGAAGGGUUCAGAUUUGGUGCCAAAUUGCGUGUGGAGAUACCUGCACCGCUUCAGCUGUCCCGGGCACCAGUGGAGGAGGUGCUGACAGGGUUCCCCUGGGCUGAGCUGAUGCACCUGCAGGAGAGUGAGGAGAAAAGGAAGUGAAUUGCAAGCCAGGACAGCCUUGGAACUGGGUGAGGAAGAGUAAUUUUUCAGGAAAUUGAAGGACAGGACAAGGAGCUUUUUGCCCUUAACAAUCCUGACUUUGCUGCUGUGGUUCCAGGCCAGCUCUACGACUGCACAGGCCUGUGCUGUCCCCUGGGAAGGGUCCUCCUGCCACGCUGGCUGCUGGUGACCUUGCAGGGAACAUGGAGCUGCUGACUGUCAUGGCACCAGAGGAAACAGGAAAGGAUGCAACAGCAUCACAAGCUGAGGUGGAAGGAGUAGAAAAAGCAGCAGCAACAGGGGAGGUGGAAAGCCCAGCGAGAACAGGUCUGUGUGGAAAGGUGGUCAUUCCUGAAGGAG